GCUUUGUGAAGGCGUUCAGAGUGGUCUUGAAUCUCCAGCAUAUUGUAGCGGUAGAUAUGCUCCCACAGUUGAGAAAGCUAUGCAUCAUUUCCACCAAUUGCUUCAUGAUAAUCUUAAAAUGUGAGUGUCCUGAUGCCUUAAUCAUAAGUUUCAUGUUCAGUAUCAAGUACAAAUCAUGCACUCACAAGCUUCGACAAGAUCUUCAAGUACUCAGUCCCCCAUUUUUGUAAAUGAAUAUCAAGUACAUCAAGUUUUUGGUCC
rnacentral:misc_RNA from 1 species